UACGUAGGGGGCGAGCGUUGUCCGGAUUUAUUGGGCGUAAAGAGCUCGUAGGCGGUUUGGUAAGUUGGAUGUGAAAUCUCCAGGCUCAACUUGGAGGGGUCAUUCGAUACUGCCAUGACUAGAGUUCGGUAGGGGAGUGUGGAAUUCCUGGUGGAGCGGUGAAAUGCGCAGAUAUCGUAAGGAAGACCAGUGGCGAAGGCGGGUCUCUGGACAGUUCCUGACGCUGAGGCACGAAGGCCAGGGGAGGCAAACCGGGG
rnacentral:rRNA from 1 species